UGAACGCGAAGAACCUUACCAGCUCUUGACAUCCCUCUGACCGGUCUAGAGAUAGGCCUUUCCUUCGGGACAGAGGAGACAGGUUGUGCAUGGUUGUCGUCAGCUCGUGUCGUGAGAUGUUGGGUUAAGUCCCGCAACGAGCGCAACCCUUGAUCUUAGUUGCCAGCACUUCGGGUGGGCACUCUAAGGUGACUGCCGGUGACAAACCGGAGGAAGGUGGGGAUGACGUCAAAUCAUCAUGCCCCUUAUGAGCUGGGCUACACACGUACUACAAUGGCCGGUACAACGGGAAGGGAAACCGCGAGGUGGAGCCAAUCCUAUCAAAGCCGGUCUCAGUUCUGGAUUGCAGGCUGCAACUCGCCUGCAUGAAGUCGGAAUUGCUAGUAAUCGCGGAUCACAUGCCGCGGUGAAUACGUUCCCGGGUCUUGUACACACGCA
rnacentral:rRNA from 1 species